rnacentral:rRNA from 1 species
GACGAACGCUGGCGGCGUGCCUAAUACAUGCAAGUCGAGCGGAAUGAUGAAGAAGCUUGCUUCUUCUGAUUUUAGCGGCGGACGGGUGAGUAACACGUGGGCAACCUACCUUGUAGAUUGGGAUAACUCCGGGAAACCGGGGCUAAUACCGAAUAAUCCAUUUUGCUUCAUGGCGAGAUGUUAAAAGGCGGCUUCGGCUGUCACUACGAGAUGGGCCCGCGGCGCAUUAGCUAGUUGGUAGGGUAAUGGCCUACCAAGGCGACGAUGCGUAGCCGACCUGAGAGGGUGAUCGGCCACACUGGGACUGAGACACGGCCCAGACUCCUACGGGAGGCAGCAGUAGGGAAUCUUCCACAAUGGACGAAAGUCUGAUGGAGCAACGCCGCGUGAGUGAAGAAGGUUUUCGGAUCGUAAAACUCUGUUGUAAGGGAAGAACACGUACGAGAGUAACUGCACGUACCUUGACGGUACCUUAUUAGAAAGCCACGGCUAACUACGUG